AACGAACGCUGGCGGCAUGCUUAACACAUGCAAGUCGAGCGCAUCCUUCGGGGUGAGCGGCGGACGGGUUAGUAACGCGUGGGAACGUGCCCUCGUCUACGGAAUAGCCUCGGGAAACUGAGAGUAAUGCCGUACACGCCCGCAAGGGGAAAGAUUUAUCGGAGGAGGAUCGGCCCGCGUUGGAUUAGGUUGUUGGUUGGGUAACGGCAUACCAAGCCGACGAUCCAUAGCUGGUUUGAGAGGAUGAUCAGCCACACUGGGAGUGAGACACGGCCCAGACUCCUACGGGAGGCAGCAGUGGGGAAUCUUGGACAAUGGGGGCAACCCUGAUCCAGCCAUGCCGGGUGAUCGAUGAAGGCCUUAGGGUUGUAAAGAUCUUUCAGCUGGGAAGAUAAUGACGGUACCAGCAGAAGAAGCCACGGCUAACUCCGUG
rnacentral:rRNA from 1 species